rnacentral:lncRNA from 1 species
AUAAAUCGUGUGCUUAACUAUAAAGGACUUUUUCCAGAAUUGACCUAUAACUUAAACUCAAACACAAAACAAACCUCCAUUUUUUUGAAAAUUGGUUUUGCCUUAUUCACCCCACAAGUUCAUAUAAUUUACGAAAAUGCCAUCAAUUUUUUUUUUCUUUUUUUUCAAAAAUGACAUUUUUACUCUCUCACCCUCAUCAUCUUCAA